ensembl:lncRNA
CCCACUGCACUCCACACACUCUGGUGAAUUUAGGGUCAACACCCCGUCUGACCAAAGACUCUUCCUGGGAGUCGUGAAGACACUGAUGCCACGAAUAUUCAGAUUUAAACGUUGCCGCCACAACAGCCCAACAUCCUCUCUCACUCACUGGUCCCGGCUCACCCACAAUCCUCUCUCACUCACUGGUCCCGGCUCACCCACAAUCCUCCUCCACGGUGGGGCCGCUCACAUACUAUGCCACAAACUCACAAAACGCUCACAGAUGGUUCACUCUAGAUGAUUAUACUGCUGUACGAUGGUUUAGGGUACUCACACCGUUACUACACGAGGUCUCUUUUCCCUCUUCUUUCCAGCUCCUGGAUACUUCUCCUGCUGCCACGUGCCCUGUCGAAAAGGCCUCCUUCGGCGAUACUUCCGGUGAGUCUUCCUGUUUUCAACCACUCAGAAUUUGUUACACAUGUCCAUGGAGCAUUUCACAGUUAAGUAGACAUUCCAAUAUACUCAGCCCGGUGUCUGUUUCUGCCAAACCCUUGUCUCCGUCUUUGCCCAGCCAACAAUAUCCUCUGCCUUCUUUCCUCUGUACUCGCCCAAACGCUCCAACUCUCUCGCCGUAUCGGCUGAAAUAAAACAAAGAACUUU